rnacentral:rRNA from 1 species
UUGGAGGGCAAGUCUGGUGCCAGCAGCCGCGGUAAUUCCAGCUCCAAUAGCGUAUAUUAAAGUUGUUGCAGUUAAAAAGCUCGUAGUUGAAUUUCGGGAUUGGCGCAUCGGUCGUGCCUCACGGGGUAUGAACUGGUGCAGUCAAUUUCUCACCUUCUGGAGAACCGCGAUGUCCUUAAUUGGAUGCCGCGGGGAACCAGGACCUUUACUUUGAGAAAAUUAGAGUGUUUAAAGCAGGCAUUUUUGCUUGAAUACAUUAGCAUGGAAUAAUAAAAUAGGACGGCAUGGUUCUAUUUUGUUGGUUUCUAGGACCACCGUAAUGAUUAAUAGGGAUAGUUGGGGGCAUUAGUAUUCAAUUGUCAGAGGUGAAAUUCUUGGAUUUAUUGAAGACUAACUACUGCGAAAGCAUUUGCCAAGGAUGUUUUCAUUAAUCAAGAACGAAAGUUAGGGGAUCGAAGACGAUCAGAUACCGUCGUAGUCUUAACCAUAAACUAUGCCGACUAGGAAUCAGACGAUGUUAAUUUUUUAGUGACUCGUUUGGCACCUUACGGGAAACCAAAGUGUUUGGGUUC